UAAUACAGAGGGUGCGAGCGUUAAUCGGAUUUACUGGGCGUAAAGGGCGCGUAGGCGGUUAGUUAAGAUAGUUGUGAAAUCCCUGGGCUUAACCUAGGAACUGCAACUGUGACUGGCUAGCUAGAGUACUGUAGAGGGUAGUGGAAUUUCCGGUGUAGCGGUGAAAUGCGUAGAGAUCGGAAGGAACACCAGUGGCGAAGGCGGCUACCUGGACAGAUACUGACGCUGAGGCGCGAGAGCGUGGGGAGCAAACAGGAUUAGAUACCCUGGUAGUCCACGCUGUAAACGAUGAAGACUAGAUGUUGGGCAGCUUGACUGUUUAGUAUCGAAGCUAACGCGAUAAGUCUUCCGCCUGGGGAGUACGGUCGCAAGAUUA
rnacentral:rRNA from 1 species